UGCCCCGUGAAGGAGUUCUAAGUAGUCAAGAAUGAGCCAAAAAAAGGAACAGGGAAGAGUAGGAAAAAACUCCUCUGUUGUCAUUAGGCCAAAAAUUGUGAGUGAGGGUCAUGGUCGGCUCUGUGUGUCCAAACAAGAAGGAAGGAGGGAAAAAGGACAAGGUCAGGAUGAGUGAACUAGAGGCUGUUUCCACUUCCUUGCAUGAGGAAGUAUCUAAAUAUUUCAAGAACUGUUUCCCAGGAGACCUUCUACAAGGGCGUUUGCUAAGUUGUAUACCAAACGGACAGGGAACUUUGAAAUGGCCCCUUCCUCAAACCUGGUCAAAGCCAGGGCGUGUCAUUGAAAUCUCAGGUAUGCCACAAAAUGUUGCCGUUGGUGAUUCUGAGGUACCACCCCUGCUUCUGUGGGCCACCUGUAGGUGUUGUGCACAUCCAGAGUCUGAGUGAGAAUGUGUGGACACGUGUGAGACCUACGCUUGAAUGGCCCAGGCACCUGACUGGCUCUGCCCAUCUCCUUGGCACAGGCCGGCAUUGGCCCUCCUACAGCCCUGGGCCUUGAGGAAGGAGGCUGCUGGGAGGCGGGGGCGGGGGGGUACCCUUCAACAUAGGGAUUCUGGAGGACAACUCAGCCCAUAACUGGGUACACAGGGGUGUGCCACGUGCAGCCUUAGGUGGCCACAGGAGUCCCAGGCAGCCCUCCGUCUGUCUGUGUUCACACCACAGGCUCUGCAGGCUUGGCCUCAUGCCCUCGCGUCGGCCCCUCUCUCCUCGGGGCAGGAAGCCCAGCACCCCCUCAACCUGGAACCUGCAGGAACCUCGCCCUGAAGAAAGCGGUCACUGAAGAGGGCGGUCCCCUAGCAGCUGGCUGGAGGAGGGUGGCCAGCAGAGGGCAGCGUGCGCAGGCUCCCUGGGAGAGCAGGUGGCCACGUGCCCUAGACGGCCUCUGCAUCCCACCAGCUGAGAGCUGGCCUCUAUGCUGGAGAAACCAGAUAGAGGAAAGGGUCUGAUUUCUUGGGAAAGGUGGGGAGCGGGGCAGGUGUUGGCAUCAGUGUAGGAGGCUGGCCCACUCUCUGGGCCGGGGCUGUCUUUCUCAGCAUGAGGCAGAGAUGCUGGAAGUCUUACCAGUCACCACCCGGCCAUAACGAACCCCCUGUCCUGGGCACUUGGCUUUCUGGGAAGAGAGUCUGCAGUUCUCCUUCCGCCUGCACCGGUCUCUGCAAAUGCCGCUGACUGGUGGGUGUGCAUCCAGUCCUGGGUUUGUUGACGGUGCAUGAAUGUGGCCCCUGACUUCUGGGAUCCUUGAGUCUUGCGGAGGGACCAGGCAAUAGGCUCCACGCCCAACAUGAGGGUCA